AGAGUACUCCCUCCGUUCGGAAUUACUUGUCGCAGUAGUGGAUGUAUCUAGACGUAUUUUAGUUCUAGAUACACCCAUUUUCGAGACAAGUAAUUCCGAACGGAGGGAGUAGAAU
rfam:Triticum aestivum genome assembly, contig: Triticum_aestivum_CS42_TGACv1_scaffold_288417_4AL